AACGAACGCUGGCGGCAGGCUUAACACAUGCAAGUCGAACGGUUGUAGCAAUACAGCAGUGGCAGACGGGUGAGUAACACGUGGGAACCUUCCUAGGGGUACGGAACAACUCAGGGAAACUUGAGCUAAUACCGUAUACGUCCGUGAGGAGAAAGAUUUAUCGCCCUUAGACGGGCCCGCGUCGGAUUAGCUAGUUGGUGGGGUAAUGGCCUACCAAGGCGACGAUCCGUAGCUGAUCUUAGAGGAUGAUCAGCCACACUGGGACUGAGACACGGCCCAGACUCCUACGGGAGGCAGCAGUGGGGAAUCUUGGACAAUGGGCGCAAGCCUGAUCCAGCCAUGCCGCGUGAGUGAAGAAGGUCUUCGGAUUGUAAAGCUCUUUUGCCAGGGACGAUAAUGACGGUACCUGGAGAAUAAGCCCCGGCAAACUUCGUGCCAGCCGCCGCCGUAACAC
rnacentral:rRNA from 1 species